rnacentral:rRNA from 1 species
UACAGAGGUCCCAAGCGUUGUUCGGAUUCAUUGGGCGUAAAGAGCUCGUAGGCGGUCUGUCGCGUCUGCUGUGAAAACUCAGGGCUUAACCCUGAGCUUGCAGUGGGUACGGGCAGACUAGAGUGCGGUAGGGGAGACUGGAAUUCCUGGUGUAGCGGUGAAAUGCGCAGAUAUCAGGAGGAACACCGGUGGCGAAGGCGGGUCUCUGGGCCGUAACUGACGCUGAGGAGCGAAAGCAUGGGGAGCGAACAGG